CCGGAGUUUAAUAAUACUCGGGAACAGGCAGCGUAGCCGUAGUAGGGGGUGCGAGUAAAGGGAUCGGGCAGGAAGAAAUAGGAAGAAAUGCGCUUCUUUUCGUUGGUGGUCAAUUUUUCAAAUCAACCGCUUGCCUUUGAUGCUCCAACGACCCUGAUCCUAAGCAAGGAGGAAAAUGGGAAUAUUGUCUUUCGCAGACGUAUUUAGUUGCCAAUUUGAAUCUGGAGUUUCCCAAAUAUUACUCCGGUAAACUAAAUUGCAUCCCAGAUCUAGAUUAAGGCAACCUUUCACUAAAAACUGAAACGGGAAGGAUUCAGGUUUUUUUCAAGAAUAUAGUAGUUCCGCACGAGAGUAUAUAUAUUGGACGUGACACUAUCAGGCUGAUGGGAUUUUAGAGCCACGAUUCAUGGUCGGCAUGAAGUCCACCUUUAUUUGGAAAGAUCAUGAUUGUAGGGUGUUGCUUAUUGGUAGCAAGGACCAUUAAACAUGGUGAUUACUUCAGAGAACUCAAAGUGGUGCACUUGAGACUCCAUUUUUCUCCCUCCUGACAACAACUCCAUGAGAUCAGCUGGACUGU